rnacentral:rRNA from 1 species
UACAGAGGGGGCAAGCGUUAUUCGGAAUUAUUGGGCGUAAAGGGCGCGUAGGCGGCUUUGUAAGUGACGGGUGAAAUCCCUCGGCUUAACCGAGGAACUGCCUGUGAAACUGCAUGGCUAGAGUUUGGCAGAGGGGGGUAGAAUUCCACGUGUAGCAGUGAAAUGCGUAGAUAUGUGGAGGAACACCGAUGGCGAAGGCAGCCCCCUGGGUCAAGACUGACGCUCAGGCACGAAAGCGUGGGGAGCAAACAGG